UCAUAGUCUGUAAGAGAGAUCUUUAUUAUUCCAAUAGAGAACUUUUAUCAAACGGCUCAAGUGCAGCUUUAUUUCUUCAAUAUGGUAUCACGAGCCUAAACAAGACUUGCGUCCAGCUCCUUCUCUAUUUUCUUCUGGCUUCUUUGUCUUCCCUCCCAUGGCAUCAUCUAAUAAAUCAUCCCCCACAAACAUCCUCAACACAGCCUCUCACUUAUCACAAUCAAGCUUACCAUAGAUAAUUAUCUUCUAUGGAAAGCUCAGAUUGUACCAUUUUUAUAGGGUCAUCAAUUAUUCGUAUGUGUUGAUGGGUCGUUUCCUAUGCCUACCCUGUCCUCUACUGAUAUUCCUAAUCAUGAGCAUACCAAGUGGGUUCUUCAAGAUAAAUCGAUUAUGUCCACUCUUAAUUCUUCUCUUUCUGAGUCGGUGUUAGCUAAGGUUCUUUACUGCACUACGUCUUCUGAAAUUUGGAGUACUCUUCAAAGCCUCUUCGCUACAAAGUCUUCCACUCAUGUUGUCCAUACUCAAUAUCAGUUAGCCACUUUGAAGAAAGGCCUUGAAUCUGCUUCCGAUUACUAUAACCGAGCAAAAUCUCUUGUUGCCACCUUGAGUGCUACGGGACAUACUUUGAGUGACUCUGAGUUCUCUAUUUUUCUUCUUGCGGGACUGGGUUUUGAAUAUGAAUCACCGAUUGCCUCACUUACCACCCGUCCCGAUCCCAUUUCUCCUCAUCAACUCUAUAGUUAUCUUCUGAAUCAUGAGUCUCGUAUGUCUCAUCAAACUCAAAAUCUUCUUUCUAAUAGCACACGUGCUGCGCAUAAUACUACCCAUUUUUCUCCAAAUACUGCAUCCAUUCGUGGUCGGUUCCUAGCUCGUGGAGGCAGAUGAGGUUGAUCUUCACCUCGUGGUUUCAACUCAGGACCACAAGCUUUUUCGUCUCAAUUUAAUGCGUCUUCUCCUCGUCCAGACACUCGUCCUCAGUGUCAAGUUGCCAAAAAUUUGGUCACGCAGCUUUGUCCUGUUAUCAUAGGCCACUCCUUACCCAGCUUCCCCCUCACCACCUCUCACAGCAAAUUAUACUUCUCUCUCUCAUUCACCUUCAUCUGCCACUACCUGGUUCCCAAAUACAGCUGCUUCACAUCAUUUUACCUCAGAGUUCAACAACCUCAACUUGGAGUCGACGCCAUAUCAGGGACCUGACCAAGUUCGCAUCGGGGAUGGCUCUGCACUGGCCAUCCAUCACCUUGGCACAACUCAAACGCCGACCACUUCUGGCAAUUUCCUUUUAAAUACCAUUCUUUAUGAUUCACGCUCCCAGGAAUUACUCCUCCAGGGUCACGUUGAAGAUGGUCUGUACGCCUUGCCGCCAACUGCCUAGAUUUCCACCUCCUCCCCUCAAGCUUUUCUAGGUGUUCGGACUUCUGCAGCACAACUAUGGCAUUCGAGUGCUUGAUACCUUCCAACAAGGCCAUCAGUUCAGCACGGGCACUAGAGCCAUAGCCAAGAUUAACAGAGAAGGCUAGCAACAGGGAGCCAUGCAUGUCUCGAAUAACACCUCCUGCCCCUGAAGAUCCUGGGUUUCCGAGACUACUACCAUCAGUGUUGAGUUUUACUCGAUCCUAAGAAGGCUUUGUCCGUGAAAUGAAUUGAAUUUGAUGUUGUUGAGAUGGAAUUGGAGGAAUGUUUAAACUAUGUAAAAUGUAUCUAUUAGCUGGAGUAAGCUUCUUCACCCUUGAAAUGCCAUGACUAAUCAUGCCAAUCCAAUGUUUGAUAGAAUACCACACUGCUUGAACCGAAUCUAAAAUGCCUUUCAUACGCGCUAAGCACCUUUGCUCCCAUAGUUUCCAUGAUAUAAAUGUGGUUCUACCAAUCAGUAAGCCCAAUAAAGAACCACAUUUCUUCCAUACCUCAACUGCAAUCUCCCCAGUGAAGAUGACAUAAUUCUGAUCUUCAUACCUACCUUGUUGGCAGCAUUCACAUUUCGAAGUUAGAGGAAUCCCAAUUCUUCUAAUUCUAUUGUCCACAGCCAGAGCACCAUGCCAAGCCUUCCACAUAAGGACUAAAAAUUAUUUUGGAAGCAAAUUGUACCAAAUCCACUUAUGCCCUUCCCAAACAGAACCUCUAACCCGAAUACACUCCCAAGCUGAUUUAGUGGUAAACAUACCACUAUCAAAUUUAGUCCAGAUUAACACAUCUGCUCCUUUAAUUUUAGCAAGCACAUUGAGGAUACUAUCAACUAUUUCCAUUCCCACCAUCCUAUCUAACAAAUCCACAUUCCAUCCAUUGUCAAGACAAUAAUCCUUCACUUGUAAAAGAGGUUGCUCACCCAUAGGAAAAUUUUCAGUAAGAGUCCCCUAAUCUAAUCACUUAUCAUACCAAAAGAAAACAUGACCAUAAUUAAUCUUCCAUUUGGAGUUAUUCAAAACGAGGGGAAGACAAUUAGCGAUCAUACACCAAAAUCUAGUACCUUUUUAAGGUUCUAACAGCAACAAAGGUCUAUUACCAACAUAUUUGGAGAGGAAAAAAUUAGCCUAGAGAGAAUCCUCGUUCAUUAGUUUCCAUGCAAAUUUUAAAUGGAGGGCUCUAUGCAUAUCAUCUAGAUUUCUAAUUCCCAAACCCCCUUCGGUAGUAGGACGACAUAUUUGAUUUCAAGCAACCCAUUUUCACUUUCCCCUUCCUUUACUUUCUCCCCCAAAAAAAAGAACUCAACAACUGAUUUAAAGAAUAAAUGAUGGCUUUGGGAACCUGCAAAACUGCAAAAGAAUGCAAUGCCAUACUAGUAAGGACAUGUCUCAGUAAAAUUAAUCUCCCACCCAUAGACAAUAAUCUCAUUUUCCAACCACUAAUUUUCUUAUUAACUUUGUUCACAAGUUCCUCCAAAUCUGCAAUUUUAAGCCUCCCCGAAACUAUGGGGACUCCCAAAUAUUUGAAAGGAAAAAUACUCUCGCAAAAAUCCAUAAUUCUCUUUAGAUGACAUUUACGAGUAAUGGAGAUUUUCUUCGAAAAAAAACAUUGAGUUUUUUCUUUACUAAUUGAUUGACCAGAUCACUCCUCAUAAGUAGCCAAAAUUUGCAAAAGACAAUGGAUAGAAUUCCAAGCACUAUUAGUGAAAAUAACCACGUCAUCCGCAUACAUAAGGUGGGAUAUCAAACAAGUGCCUUGAGGUUGAGAAAUUGGCCAAGUAUCUUCUCAUCCACAUUUUGCUUAAUAAGUCUAGAUAAAACUUCCUGGAAAAUAAUAAACAAGUAAGGGGACAAAGGGUCUCAUUAUCUUAACCUACGACCACCUUUGAAAAAACCUUUAGUAGUACAAUUCAUCAUGAUAGAAAACCAAGGAGUAGAAAUACAUUCAUUGAUCAACUCACAGACUUGAGGAGAAAAACCAAAAGAGCAAAGAACCUCCAACAGGAAGGCCAAACUAACACGAUUAUAUGCCUUCGCCAUAUCCAAUUUAAGCACCACAUUCCCCCCA